UGAGAGAGAAUAAAGAGAAAAGAAAGGAAAAUAAGGCAAAAGGCAAGUGAUCUUGGGCAAUCCGCCCAUGUAAGCACAAAAUGGAGAAAACUAAAGAAAUUUUCAAGGCUUGGCCUUGACAGAUCCGUCCACUGCCAAGAAGAAAAGAGAAAGGAGAAGAAAAAGGGAAGACAAAGGAAGAAAGGAAGGAGAGAAAGGGAGAAAGGAGGAACAAGAAAAAAGAAAGGGAGGGUUCAACUUAGUGAACCCAAGGCAAGCAACAACCCACAUAGAUUCAAAGGACCCGAGGCAUGCAUGCAAGUAGAUCUUGGAAUCUGUGGUGAUUUUGAAGUUAAAUAAACAAUGGAUAAGUGAUUAGCUUAGGUGCAUAGCUCAGCACAUCGAGACUUGCUACAACGUAGGUAAUGGCAUCUCUUAAGCUCCCACUAUGAGUCACUCCACUGCCU